rnacentral:rRNA from 1 species
CCCUUAGAUGUCCUGGGCUGCACGCGCGCUACACUGAUGCGCUCAACGAGUUUACGAUCUUGCCUGAAAUGGCUGGGUAAUCUUUUUAAAACGCAUCGUGAUGGGGAUAGAUUAUUGCAAUUAUUAAUCUUCAACGAGGAAUUCCUAGUAAGCGCGAGUCAUCAGCUCGUGCUGAUUACGUCCCUGCCCUUUGUACACACCGCCCGUCGCUCCUACCGAUUGAGUGCUCAGGUGAAUAAUUCGGACUGCAGCAAUGUUUGGAUCCCGAACGUUGCAGCGGAAAGUUUAGUGAACCUUAUCACUUAGAGGAAGGAGAAGUCGUAACA